rnacentral:rRNA from 1 species
GUAGGGUAUUGUCGAAACCUGCCCAGCAGAGAGACCCGCGAACACGUUCGACACUCGAGGGGGGUGAGGGGUGUGAACACGCCCCGGACCCUCCUCGCCGGGUGCUUGUGGCCCCGUCCCUCGACCCCGGCACCAAACGAACCCCGGCGCGGAAUGCGUCAAGGAAAGACAACGAGACGAUCCCCGCCAUCGAGGCCCCGGGAACGGUGACUCUGCCUCGGUGGUCGAUUCGGGAUCGGGUUUUAGUAUGAAGAACGACUCUUGUCAACGGAUAUCUCGGCUCUCGCAUCGAUGAAGAACGUAGCGAAAUGCGAUACUUGGUGUGAAAUGCAGAAUCCCCUUACCCAUCGUGUCUUUGAUCUCAAGUUGCGCCGGAACCCAUCGGGACGAGGGCACGACUGCCUAGGAGUCACACGUCGUUGCCCCCCGGAAUCCCCGUCCCGCUCCUAUCCGGUUGAGUGGGGACUGUGUGGGGGGGGCGAAUGAUGUAAGACCGUUUGUGCUUUUCUGGCGAUAUGUCUAAUUUCCUUGGCCCAAGAAGUGUCGUCUUGACAACAUGUUGUGGAUCACUCGGCCUAGAAAACGGUCUAUAAUUAAAGCAUCGGCAUUACGUCAGACCCCAAUCGCCCCUCACGGGUGCUUCCACCUUGACCACGGGUCAGGUGAGU